CUAUGUGAUGACAGUUCUGGACUGAAGCAGACAUAACACUUUUUCCUUCCACUUGGGGGAAAAGACAUAGUUCAAAAUCCAUUACUCUGUCUCUAACGUAAUAGAGAAGUGUGUCUCAGCAGCAAGCUGGUUUCUGAGCUAUGGAACAGAGGAAGAGUUUUCCCCUGGAACUCACAGGACAGUGAGAGUGUGCAUUGGGUAGCCUCCAGAAGAUCCCUUCUACAGCAGACUUGCAAAGGGAUAUACCCUUUCCUCCCUCAGUUCUCCACUCUUUUCUCGUAUAAAUAUUUAAAUAAUUAUUUUUAGAGCUCUGGGAAACCUUUAUCAAUUGCCUCUAUAAGAAUCUGUUCUAUUAGCUGAGAAACUUUUUUACCAUUAUAGAGGCUUUUCACCACUUUCUAUUUCAUUAGCAUUCAUUUUCUUCAGACAUAUGACAGACUACCCACUGGAAAUGUAGGCAUCUGGGAACAGAAAGCUAAAAGCUGAGGUUUGCUUCAGUGCUUGCCAGCCCACAGAAUUGUAUUACCUAACCUACCUUUACCUAAAUCACAGAAAAAUGACAAACCUUUUGAUGCAUGUAAAAAAACCCCUGAAACAGAGUAAAACUGCAAGCUUGACUGAUGCAAACUGACAUAAUGCAUCACAAUGGUGUGCAUCAGAGACAGAUGCUUUCUCCAGCUCCAGUUUAGUUGCAUUUUUGCAGAGUGCAUUUCUGAUUGGUUAAACGUAGCUCUUGUAAAAAGAUUUGGGUCUGGAGUUCAAGCUCAAAUCUCCACGAGUAAUGGACGAGCUGAUGGCAUUAUUCUCACAGGUGGAAAUGGAGAAUGCAAAUUUUAGGAGCAGCACAUCUGUUCUCUUGGCUAAUCAGGUAUGAGUUCUACAGGAAUGACCACAUUAGCAACCUUGGUGUCAUAACUGGAGGGACACAAAUCAACAGGGCUGUGUGUGCUAAUGUUGAGGAAUUUUGAAAUCUGAGCUGGAGCUUCACACAGAUCUGGCUUCUGUUCAUGCAGUCUGUUACAAGGUCCUAGAACCAAAAAUUUUCUCAGACGAAGGACUGUAGUGGGAGGCAGUCCUGGUCCCACUGUCAGGUAAUGCAAAAAGAAAGAGCUUUGGUGUGGUUUUGGUAGAAAGUGGUCCAAGCAAGAGUGAGGUACUUUUCUGUAGCUGAAUGACCCAAGUGGCUCUUGCUUCCUGUGCAAGAAACUCCCAUGAAAGGAAGUCACUAAGUCAUUAGUGAUUUCUGGGAGGGAAUCACAUAGGUUGCUUUUGUUCAUGCUGUUCAUCAAACAAACAAUCAGAAUUUUUGUGUUAAUGUCUUAUUACCUAAGUAGGCAAGGGAUGAGAAGAAACACAGCAGAGUGACUGAGCCCAAAUCGCUGUCAGGAAGGUGGAGAUUUCAAGCUUGCUGGCUAGAUGGAUGAAAUAGCCUGUCCCCAUGCUGCUCCAAUGGUAGAGAUGUAUGGACAUCCCUUGUGACUAACGAGAGGAUUUAAGCACAGUGUUAGUAUUGCCUCUUCUGUGGAAAAGCCAUAACCAUGAAGGAAAACAGAAACAGGAAAUAAUGAGGAAAACUCUGUGUAAAGCAGAAUUCUCCAGGUGCACUGCUCAAAUAGCACAUGGGCAGUCAUGCCUUAGUCAGAAGAACCAACUUAAGACUGACACUUUUCCAUCAUCUCCCUUUGGUGUACUCUCAUGUGACAUGUGGCAGGAAGAACUGAGAUAUUCUGUCACUGCUCUCAGUGCUAGAAGAUCUCAGAGACAAAAAAAUUGGUGAACAGAGCCUUGUCGAGCCCCUCCACCAACAGGCGCGCCACACUUCAUCAGGCAGUUUUUCUCAGGGAUUCUGAGAAAAUUCUCAGGGAUUCUGAGAAGAUUCAAAGAGAACUUUGCUGUUUUUUAACACCUCUAGCUGCAGAUCUGUAGAUAUUACUGCAGAAAUAUCCCUCUGGGAAAAGGCUGCAUAAGUUCUGGCCACCGUGUAAAUCUCACACUGAAGACUCACUUGGGAAGAAGAAAAGACAAAAAAUGUUGUGCUGGCUCUCUAAGUGAAGACAUUCUUCCAGUUCUCUGCUGAUGUAGUAUCCUCAGCUUUCAUUAUUAAAGACCCAUUAUGGGCUUUGGCUCCUACAGCAAAGUGCAUAGGAAUGGAGCUCAAUUUAAGCUGUGCUGUGCAAAGAGGGGAGAAAUCUGGUGAUGGGCCUACAAAUGUCACUGACAAGGAAAAGAAAAGGCUAAAGGCUCUGCUGGAGUGACUCCAUUGACUCCCAUGGCUUUCGUGGGCUUCAAUUUGCAAAACAGACAGAAGAAGAGAAAACCCUUCCUCCACCUCUCUCCCCUGCAAUUCUUGAAAGUGACAUCUGUGCAGUGCUGCAGGAAAGAUUACACAUCUUAGUCUUAUUUUUUUUUACCCUGCCACUCCCAAUUUAUUCAUGCCCACUAUCAUAAUAUUAAUUUUUAGCAAGGAAGAGUAAGAAGUGCUCCCCUGGGCCAGUGUGGUUCUCCUGGUGCGGAGCAGCCCAGGGGAGGGGGAAGGCAGCAGGGCAGAGGUUGCUGCAGCUCCAAGGGGACCAGAUCUGCCUUUCUCACCAGGGACCCACCUGGGGCAUCUGUCCCGGGAGCCAGUCCAGAGCAGUCCCUGCUCGACCCUCAGCGUGGCACCGCUCUGUCUUGCCACUACUUCUCCUUCCCACCCCCCCUUUGCCUCACCUCUCCCAGACCCACUUCCCUUCUCGAAAAAUCCAUCCAUUUAUUUCCAAUUACAAACCACACCACAUAACACAAACAUAAUUGCUUAAAAGUUGUUCCACAUUUGAUUCACAUGCAUUAUGCAUCCUGUAAAUUAUGUACGACCUCCUCUUUAUUUUUCCUUUUUUUUUUUUGAGAAGUAUUAUUGUAGUUCCUUCUCUUGAUAUAAGGAUAGUUUUUACAGUUAGAAUCAAAACCUAAUUCAUUUACAAUACCUGUCUCCUGAGGAUCACAACAUAAUGACAUUGGAACAGUAAAAAGACUACACAGGGUUUUCACUUCAAUCACAGCUGUUCUAUAAAGAAAAGAAACUUACAGAAACCACCAAGAGAGAUGGUGAUUUAUAUCCAGUAGGAUACAAUAUAGCUGAAGAUGACUUUCUUGCUUAAACAAGGAGGGAAAAAAUGAACUCAUAUGUAUGAUGUAAAUAGACUUAACCAUGGGUGGCUGUGGUUUACUAUAAAUAUUCAAUUCAUUAUGGCUGCAGAGACGUACAGCUCCUACUGCGUGCUGGUGUUCUCGCCUGUAUCUGUCACUUGCUUCUGUUUGUCAUAAGCCAGAACCCUCUUUAUGCUGACCCCCCCCCUCUUUUUUUUUUUUUUUUCCAGUUGUCCGGGAAUCAACACAUUUAGGAAUUUUUUUUUUUUUUUUUUUAAAAGCUUUGGACCUCUUAAUGGUAAAGAUCUCAUUGAAGGAGGUUUUUCAGCAAUGGAAAAAAACCAUGGGCCUGUGAGUUUGGAUCCCGUGAUGCAUCGCUCCUUGAAGUUACAUCUGCUCUUCUCUUUCAUCUCUCCUCUUGUUAACUGGGAGCUGUCACAUUAGGAGUUCUGGUGGAAGUGGCAUAAAGGAAGGAAAGAGAGACUGAUACACUGUGUCAUGACAAAACAGGCAGAGUAAGAAUGCCUUUGCAGUCACCUAUCAUCCAGGGACUGUGUGCUGCUGGCCCAAAGCAUCAGGUGACACCUUCUCAGGCACAUGAAAGAGCUACAGCAGCUCUCCCAUCUUCUAGGAACUGAUCUCAAGGGCCCUGAUGGUGUAUUUUGUUACAUGAAAGUGACGUCAAGCUGUUAGGCCAUAUAUUGAAGAAAGGUCGGUAGACUUAACACAGUGCUCCUGAAGCCAACUUAACAGAGACUGCUCUACUGAAAGCUUUCUGAAAUCAUUCUUAAAUUACGAUGCAUAAUCACUUGAAAUUAAGUCAAUUCAAAUACCCUCUGGAAGGAUUCUGUAGAUGAAACAUUGAACUGGAGCAAAAUCAAGACUGAAGUCCCCUGUGUGGAAAAACAGGUGAAAAAAGGGCUGCUGAAUUGCAGUAUGAGGUCAGGCUCGUGGUCACUCUCUUCUGACACCAGCAAGUCCUUUUCAGGCCCAAUGACCCCACUUUUGUCGGCUCAAGCACAAACAUAAUUUCUGAAGAACAAUAUCAAAAUCAGCCUCUGUUUCCUCAGUUUCUUCCUGUUCUACCCUUGGCAUCCCAACAGUGACCUUGAGCUCCAGUGCACGCAAACUUCUGCCGCUCAGUAAGUCUGUGCUUAGAUUAAACCACACUAUCCCUGUGGCACGCUCAGAAUUAAGGCUCAAGAGUUGCAUACCAAGAUCUUGAAAUUCUGGCUUUGCACUCAAAAGUCCCCUUGGCCACAGUGAGAAAAGGAAUGGGCUCAAGGACCAAAAGCACACUCAGGAAUGAGUUGAUGCACGAUGUUCUCCAGGGUCAGCAUUCUCCAAGUGCUGCUGUGUUCUUUCAGAGGAGGGGAAAAAAAAAACCCAAGCCAGAUUCAUGGCAUUAGAAAGACCAAGUUCCUGUGGGUGCAGUAUGUGCCACAAAGUGGAAAUUAAAAACCAGAGUUUUAACAGGGUUUGUUGUGUUACAAAGCUUGAAAGCAUUUUUAUCCUUAUAUGUGUGUACUCACAGGAAAACAUACUGCACUAAUAAAACAGAACUUCAUGUUCCCAAGCAUAUUUAUUGUUUGUUGCCAAGCAGUCUUAGCUGUGGGUCUGUUUGUAGGGGUGAAGAGGAGGUGCUUGUGGGAUUUUUGACCCCCUUGGCUAUAGGUGAUAUGUACAAGGUGUGCCUUAAAGAGAAUGGGUAGAGUUGCCAGACAGGCAAGUUUAAUAAUGGGUAUCUUGACAGGGGUGAAUGUGAAGGGAAACUGAGGACGUGACAGUUCCCAUGAGAUGGUGUGCAACACUAUCCCCCCUGAAAUCUACCAAAAAUUGUCUGUCUCCCGUUAAGGGGAACCAACCUGAAGAAAAGUCAAAAAAAACCUAAAUAAAAGCUAAUAGAUGAGCCGAGCUAAUAUUAGUUUCCUGAUAUAUAAAGCCAAAUGGAUUAAUGGAUCAGCUCAUGCAUUGCCUAAGGAAACAAAAAGAAAA